AACAAAGAAGUAAAAAUUACAUUUAAUUUCGACUUAAACUUAAAGAAUAUAAAUCUUCAUGUUU
rnacentral:tRNA from 1 species